CCUACGGGAGACAGCAGUGAGGACUAUUGGUCAAUGGCCGUAAGGCUGAACCAGCCAAGUAGCGUGAGGGAAGACUGCCCUAUGGGUUGUCAACCUCUUUUAUGCGGGGAUAAAGGUGUCCACGUGUGGAUGUUUGCAGGUACCGCAUGAAUAAGGACCGGCUAAUUCCGUGCCAGCAGCCGCGGUAAUACGGAAGGUCCGGGCGUUAUCCGGAUUUAUUGGGUUUAAAGGGAGCGUAGGCCGGUCUUUAAGCGUUCCGUGAACUUUUGUGGCUCAACCAUGAGAGUGCGGCGCGAACUGGAUACCUUGAGUGCGCGGAAGGCAGGCGGAAUUCGUGGUGUAGCGGUGAAAUGCUUAGAUAUCACGAAGAACCCCGAUUGCGAAGGCAGCCUGCCGCAGCGUUACUGACGCUGAAGCUCGAAAGCGCGGGUAUCGAACAGGAUUAGAUACCCUUGUAGUC
rnacentral:rRNA from 1 species